UACGUAGGGUGCGAGCGUUGUCCGGAAUUAUUGGGCGUAAAGGGCUCGUAGGCGGUUUGUCGCGUCGGGAGUGAAACCAGGUGCUUAACACCUGGCUUGCUUUCGAUACGGGCAGACUAGAGGUAUGCAGGGGAGAACGGAAUUCCUGGUGUAGCGGUGAAAUGCGCAGAUAUCAGGAGGAACACCGGUGGCGAAGGCGGGUCUCUGGGCCGUAACUGACGCUGGAGGAGCGAAAGCAUGGGGAGCGAACAGG
rnacentral:rRNA from 1 species